GUUGCGGUGGCCGAGUAGUUAAGGCGUUGGAAUAGAAAUCCAAUGGGAUCUUCCCGCGCAGGCCGAAUCCUGCUCGCAACG
rfam:Nematostella vectensis strain CH2 x CH6 NEMVEscaffold_452_Cont27651, whole genome shotgun sequence.